rnacentral:rRNA from 1 species
UACGUAGGGUCCGAGCGUUGUCCGGAAUUAUUGGGCGUAAAGGGCUCGUAGGCGGUUUGUCACGUCGGGAGUGAAAACUCAGGGCUCAACCCUGAGCGUGCUUUCGAUUCGGGCAGACUAGAGGUAUUCAGGGGAGAACGGAAUUCCUGGUGUAGCGGUGGAAUGCGCAGAUAUCAGGAGGAACACCGGUGGCGAAGGCGGGUCUCUGGGCAGUAACUGACGCUGAGGAGCGAAAGCGUGGGGAGCGAACAGG